UGGCCGUAAACGAUGUGGACUUGGUGUUGGAAUGGCUCCGAGCUGCUCCAGUGCCGAAGGGAAGCUGUUAAGUCCACCGCCUGGGAAGUACGGUCGCAAGACUGAAACUUAGAGGAAUUGGCGGGGGGAGCACCACAACGCGUGGAGCCUGCGGUUUAAUUGGAUUCAACGCCGGACAUCUCACCAGGGGGCGACAGCAGAAUGAUGGCCAGGUUGAUGACCUUGCUUGACAAGCUGAGAGGUGGUGCAUGGCGUCAGUG
rnacentral:rRNA from 1 species